UCGGUAUAAGUAUUUCCGUUUCCGGGGAUCGGGAUUCGGAGGAGAUGAUGUUCGGCAGGAGAGGGUUUCUUUCUCUGCCCAUGGUGGUGGGCGCCGUCGUGAUAGGCGUGGUUUCUGGGAAAUUUAUAUUUGGUCCUCCGCUUGAGGAGUACUGGACAAAGAAGCUGCAGGAAGAGGCAGCAAAGGAGGGUAAAGAAGACACCAGAUAACACCAACCAGAAGGUCUUGAUAUCCAUUUUUUCGCAGGAAGAAAAGGCAGAGACUCUUUUUCUAUCUCAGAAACCACUUGUUUUGAUUAUGCUGUAUGGAGGAUAGAUGCAUACCUAGCUUUCCUUCCUCUGCCAGUUCUUUUGUGCUUCAAUACAUGGUUUGCUCUAUCUUGCCUCAUGCAUAAGAUGGAAAUCCAGUCUAAUUCUGUUCUGUUGGGCUAGUAGUUUUGAGAAUCUAUCGUUUUGCUGGCCUGUUAUUUGAGUUUGCCAUGUGGCAAGUAGGGCUGGUUAUUGUUCCAUUCGACAUAUCGAAUUCAGCUUUCUUUGUUCUUGCUUCCUAUCCGAGGAAUAAUUUUGGCAAUGUAUAAACUAAUUGAUAUUUUCGGACAAGAAAGCAAAUAACUCAGAGGCUAUCCGGCCUUUUAGAUUCAA